CUUUGCUAAUGAGCACCAAUACAAUAGGUCUGGUCUUCUCCCACGGGCUGAGUUUGCCAGGAAUACUGUUUGUCAUUCCUCUACUGGCUUGAGCCCUUUUAAAAUGGCUUAUGGUAUACAGCCUAGCGUCCUUCCUGGUGUAUUCUCUGAAAAGGGUAUACCUUGAAUGCCCACCUUGCCAUCUUAAGGGAGAUGUGAGAUCAGGUCUGUGGCUGCCACCCAGAUAGGAAGAAGGGUUUCGCCGCCAGAGACGUUCUCCC